ACCUGGCUGGCUCAGUCGGUAGAGCAUACAGUUCUUGAUCUUGAGGUUGUGAGUUCAAACCCCAUGUCGGGUG
rnacentral:tRNA from 1 species